AGUGUGCAUCUGUGCGUGGUGGAGAGAGGAUCUUUAUCGCGCUCUCUUGGUGCUAACUUUUUUAUAUAAAUUUCUGUGUGCUAGUGAAAGUGAAGACACUGUGAUUAAAAGAGAGAGAGAAAAAAAAGAAAAAAGAGAUAGAUAUCAGGAUUUUUUUUUCUUAUUUAUUUUUAUUUAUCCCUAUCAUCUAUCGGAAGUGUGUCAUUCGAAAAAAAAAGAAAAGAAACAAAACGAAACUGCCGUAACUGUAUAAUUAAGUAAUACAUUCGAGGAGCGUGUAGGAUACAGCUGUAUUUGUUGUAUCCCGCGCUUUAUUCAGCCUUUCCUUCACUUCUGGUCUAAGUCAUUCUACCAGUGACCUUCAGAAAACAGGUAAACAUUCCUUUGCGAAGGAGAGUUCAUGCAAGGAAACGUGUGAGGAAGGUAACUCAUAACUCGUCUUUCUGUGCAUAGAAUAAUGGAAGGGUGUUUAAGAAGACAGGGAGGAAAAGAUGGUUAGUUAAGAU